UUUCUGUCAUUUUUUUUCAGCAGCAGAAACAAAAACUCUCAAGAAAUUAGUGAGUUGCUCAUUAACUUCUAUCAGAUUUAUGCAAAAUAACAAACAAUAACAACAAUAUUAACAGAUACUAUUAAACUUAGAGGUCAAUCUUCAUGAAAAAGGUGAGUCAAACUUGAAUGAUUUAAAUUUGUUUGGGAGAUUGAUUAAAUUGAAUGAACUUAAUAUGUUGAAUAACUUUGGAAACAAUUGAGAGUAAUAUCUUCUUUGUUUUUUCAAAUGUUUAUUUUUUUGGCAUUUAAAUGACUAACGUGAACGUGUUAAUCUGUUUUUUUUCAUGUUUCCUGUUUGGAAUGAGAAACACUGCUUCUUUGCAACGAUUCAGCUUUUAUUUUGAAAUGCUUUUGCUGCUAUUGUGGAAUAAAUCAUUAGGGAGGUAUUUGGGGCUGUUUCUUGUUUUCUCCUCAGUGUUGGUGAGGAAAACACCAACACUGAGCGUCUACUGCGUCUAGCUGCAGAAACGACUCCAUCUUUGAAACAGGCAACAAACAUCAGCUGGAGGAUGGAUGGAGUUCCUAAAGGCCUCAUGAAUCAGAGCCUGGAUCACAGUCAUGCUGUUCAAGAUCAAACAGAUCCAAAGGAAAGUAACGGUGAUGCUGAUCAGGUGAAGAAGUCAUGGUGGCAGAGAGGAUGUGCACGUUUACAAGAUGAGAAGAGGCUGUGAUGUCUGGAACCAAUCCAGAGGACCAGAGAACAACCAGAUGAUUAGAAACACGGAUGGACCGCCUCAGACCGGAUCUUCUGCAGCUUCUUCUGCAACUUUUACAAAUCUGCCGCCGUCCUUCAACACGUCUGCAUCACCUGUUGGAGUUCCUCAAACCACCACUGGGGGCAGGUUUUCCAGCUGCCUCGGUCAGAACUUCCUCCACCUUCAGAGAUCACAGACUGUAGACUUCCUAUUCAAUCCCCACGGCUUCCCCUCACACCACAACCAAGACCGAGAACCGGCCCGACACAGCUCCACCAUGACACGCCGUCACCAUCUUUGACGUUUUUCUUUAUCUUCUGUCAAAAAAACAGUUUUACUUUUUUUUAUCCCGCCAAAAGUGUGUUUGUGUAACUCUUAUUGUUGUGUUGUGAUGCUAAAACUAUAUCUUUGUGUUUCUGUUGUCAACUUCAUCCUCUGAACUGAUUCUUUAUUUAACAUUUCACGAUCUAAUAUUUUAAAAAUACAAAUUUAUGUUCAAGAACAUGUAAAAACUGUAUCAUAUCAUCAUUAUCUUGUUGCUACUUUAUUGACAUAAAGUGUAUUUUUGUUGUUCUCUA